rnacentral:tRNA from 1 species
CGAGAGGUAGUUUAGAAGUCUAGAAUUUUGGCCUUGGGUGCCAGUGGCGGAGGUGAAAUUCCCCCCCUUUUGA